rnacentral:rRNA from 1 species
GACGAACGCUGGCGGCGUGCCUAAUACAUGCAAGUAGAACGCUGAAGGAGGAGCUUGCUCUUCUGGAUGAGUUGCGAACGGGUGAGUAACGCGUAGGUAACCUGCCUGGUAGCGGGGGAUAACUAUUGGAAACGAUAGCUAAUACCGCAUAACAGUAGAUGUUGCAUGACAUUUACUUAAAAGGUGCAAUUGCAUCACUACCAGAUGGACCUGCGUUGUAUUUGCUAGUUGGUGGGGUAACGGCUCACCAAGGCGACGAUGCAUAGCCGACCUGAGAGGGUGGGCGGCCAGACUGGGACGGAGACACGGCCCAGACUGCUACAGAAGGGAGCAGUAGGGAAACGGCAGGAAGGGGCGGAAGUCUGACCGAGAAGCGCCGAGGGAGGGAAGAGGGUUGUCGGAUCGGAAAGCACGGUUGUAAGGGAAGAACGAGUGUGAGAGUGGAAAGUUCACACUGUGACGGUAACUUACCAGAAAGGAACGGCUAACUACGUG